rnacentral:tRNA from 1 species
UGCCUGGAGGACUAGUGGUUAGGCCACGACGCUCUCGCCGCCGUGGCCCGGGUUCAAUUCCUGGCCAGGGAA